AUAGCUAAGACCGCAUAGGUACGGACACUGCAUGGUGACCGUAUUAAAAGUGACCUCAAAGCACUGGUAGAGGAUGGACUUAUGGCGCAUUAGCUGGUUGGCGGGGUAACGGCCCACCAAGGCGACGAUGCGUAGCCGACCUGAGAGGGUGACCGGCCACACUGGGACUGAGACACGGCCCAGACUCCUACGGGAGGCAGCAUG
rnacentral:rRNA from 1 species